rnacentral:rRNA from 1 species
UACAGAGGGGGCGAGCGUUGUUCGGAAUUACUGGGCGUAAAGGGCGCGUAGGCGGCCCGCUAAGUCGAACGUGAAAUCCCUAGGCUCAACCUGGGAACUGCGUCCGAUACUGGCAGGCUUGAAUCCGGGAGAGGGAUGUGGAAUUCCAGGUGUAGCGGUGAAAUGCGUAGAUAUCUGGAGGAACACCGGUGGCGAAGGCGGCAUCCUGGACCGGUAUUGACGCUGAGGCGCGAAAGCUAGGGGAGCAAACGGG